UGGGGAAUAUUGCGCAAUGGAGGAAACUCUGACGCAGCGACGCCGCGUGGGUGAUGAAGGCCUUCGGGUUGUAAAGCCCUGUCGGCUGGGAAAAAGGUAGUCAUGCUAAUACCAUGAUUGCUUGAUGGUACCAGCAAAGGAAGCACCGGCUAACCCUGUGCCAGCAGCCGCGGUAAUACAGGGGGUGCAAGCGUUGUUCGGAAUUACUGGGCGUAAAGGGCGCGUAGGCGGCUUGGUAAGUCAGGCGUGAAAUCCCGGAGCUUAACUCCGGAAGUGCGUUUGAAACUACCUCGCUAGAGUUCAGUAGAGGAUGGUGGAAUUCCCAGUGUAGAGGUGAAAUUCGUAGAUAUUGGGAGGAACACCGGUGGCGAAGGCGGCCAUCUGGGCUGCAACUGACGCUGAGGCGCGAAAGCGUGGGGAUCAAACAGGAUUAGAUACCCCCGUAGUCC
rnacentral:rRNA from 1 species